GUGAAUCAUCAAAUCUUUGAACGCAAAUUGCACUCUCUGUGUAGAGUACGCCUGUUUGAGGGUCAGCCGAAAAAAAAUCGACAUAGUCGCUGUUCCGCUGUGACAUUCGUCCGAAAUUGGGUCAUCUUUAACCUUUGGGUUGUAAGCGGCCUAAAAUUUUUUUUACGAUUUCACGAACGGUUCUAAGAUAUUCUUUUUAUACUCUUAAGUUAGCGAUCUUAAUU
rnacentral:misc_RNA from 1 species